rnacentral:rRNA from 1 species
AACGAACGCUGGCGGCAUGCCUAACACAUGCAAGUCGAACGAGACCUUCGGGUCUAGUGGCGCACGGGUGCGUAACGCGUGGGAACCUGCCCUUAGGUUCGGAAUAACUCCCCGAAAGGGGUGCUAAUACCGGAUAAUGUCUUCGGACCAAAGAUUUAUCGCCUUUGGAUGGGCCCGCGUUGGAUUAGCUAGUUGGUAGGGUAAAAGCCUACCAAGGCGACGAUCCAUAGCUGGUCGGAGAGGAUGAUCAGCCACACUGGGACUGAGACACGGCCCAGACUCCUACGGGAGGCAGCAGUGGGGAAUAUUGGACAAUGGGCGAAAGCCUGAUCCAGCAAUGCCGCGUGAGUGAUGAAGGCCUUAGGGUUGUAAAGCUCUUUUACCCGGGAUGAUAAUGACAGUACCGGGAGAAUAAGCACCGGCUAACUCCGUG